rnacentral:rRNA from 1 species
GCGCACGGGUGAGUAACGCGUGGAUAUCUACCUGAUGGGCAGGCAUAACACUUCGAAAGGGGUGCUAAUACCUGAUAAGACCACGGAGUCUCUGGGCUCUGCGGUAAAAGGUGGGGACCUUCGGGCCUACCGUCAUCAGAUGAGUCCGCGUACCAUUAGCUAGUUGGUAGGGUAAAGGCCUACCAAGGCGACGAUGGUUAGCUGGUCUGAGAGGAUGAUCAGCCACACUGGAACUGAGACACGGUCCAGACUCCUACGGGAGGCAGCAGUGGGGAAUUUUGCGCAAUGGGGGAAACCCUGACGCAGCAACGCCACGUGAGUGAUGA